rnacentral:rRNA from 1 species
CAGCGUGUCCUCCCUGCCCGAAAGGGCCGGGUAACCCGUUGAACCUCCUUCGUGCUAGGGCUUGGGGCUUGCAAUUGUUCCCCAUCAACGAGGAAUUCCCAGUAAGCAUGAGUCAUAAGCUCGUGUUGAUUACGUCCCUGCCCUUUGUACACACCGCCCGUCGCUAGUACCGAUUGAAUGAUUUAGUGAGGUCUUCGGACCGGUGCGCGGCGGCUCUUCACGAGUCGUUGAUGUUACUGGAAAGAUGACCGAACUUGAUCAUUUAGAGGAACUAAAAGUCGUAACAAGGUUUCCGUAGGUGAACCUGCGGAAGGAUCAUUA